GGGGCUGACAAAGCUUAGACGGACUGUUAACAGAUUUGAUGCGUGCCGAUUAAAUACCGUAAGUAUUGAAUAAGUGCUAAAAACACUAAAGCUAUGCAUGUUGCAUACAUGCCAGCUUAUGCUUAAGAUAUUUUAAGCUGGUCUUUGUGUGAGGUUCCAUAGCAUAAAGAUUAUCAUAUUAUGGGAAUAAGGUUAUUUUAGUGGCGAAAAAUAACCCGAAAACUAGCCUGCGCAUUUAUCAGUUUCGUUUUCUGCAGCUGAUGAUAUUUGCUAAGACAAAACAGGAAACUAUACACGUAGAUUCAGAUCCCAGUGAUAGCUCGGACCCGGAGGCAGUAUCCGGCAGCUCCACCA
rnacentral:tmRNA from 1 species